GAAAAUGAUACCAAGUUUAUAAAAACUAACUCGGCCUGGCAAGAUGGCUCACACCUGUAAUCCCAGCACUUUGGGAGUCUGAGCCAGCUAAAGGGAAAAAAGGAAAAGGCCAGGGCAAGUCUCAUGGGAAGAAACAGAAGAAACCAGAAGUGGACAUUCUCAGCCCCGCGGCCAUGCUGAACCUCUACUACAUCGCCCACAACGUCGCUGACUGCCUGCAUCUGCGAGGCUUCCAUUGGCCGGGUGCUCCCAAAGGAAAGAAAGGGAGAAGCAAGUGACAGCAUUUCACAACACAUCUCUGUUACAGACAACAGGACCUGGGGAAGAGAAGUCAGGAUAACACAACUGUUGCCAGCAACAUAGACUUUACUCCAGACGACUUGAGAUGCAAAUUAAGUGUGCUUUUCUGUGAUGGUGGAAGAUCAGGAAAUGCACCUUACUUCCUCUGUUAUGCCAGAUAUGGUUAGCCACUUUG
rnacentral:lncRNA from 1 species